ACGUAGGGAGCAAGCGUUGUUCGGAUUUACUGGGCGUAAAGGGCGCGUAGGCGGCAUAUUAAGUCAGCUGUGAAAUCUCCGAGCUUAACUCGGAACUGUCAGCUGAUACUGAUGUGCUAGAGUGCAGAAGGGGCAAUCGGAAUUCUUGGUGUAGCGGUGAAAUGCGUAGAUAUCAAGAGGAACACCUGAGGUGAAGACGGGUUGCUGGGCUGACACUGACGCUGAGGCGCGAAAGCCAGGGGAGCAAACGGGA
rnacentral:rRNA from 1 species